AGUGAACGCUGGCGGUAGGCCUAACACAUGCAAGUCGAACGGCAGCACAGUAAGAGCUUGCUCUUACGGGUGGCGAGUGGCGGACGGGUGAGGAAUACAUCGGAAUCUACUUUUUCGUGGGGGAUAACGUAGGGAAACUUACGCUAAUACCGCAUACGACCUACGGGUGAAAGCAGGGGAUCUUCGGACCUUGCGCGAUUGAAUGAGCCGAUGUCGGAUUAGCUAGUUGGCGGGGUAAAGGCCCACCAAGGCGACGAUCCGUAGCUGGUCUGAGAGGAUGAUCACCCACACGGGAACUGAGACACGGUCCAGACUCCUACGAGAGGCAGCAGUGGGGAAUAUUGGACAAUGGGCGCAAGCCUGAUCCAGCCAUACCGCGUGGGUGAAGAAGGCCUUCGGGUUGUAAAGCCCUUUUGUUGGGAAAGAAAAGCAGCAGGUUAAUACCCCGCUGUUCUGACGGUACCCAAAGAAUAAGCACCGGCUAACUUCGUG
rnacentral:rRNA from 1 species